AGCGAACGCUGGCGGCAGGCUUAACACAUGCAAGUCGAGCGGGCGUAGCAAUACGUCAGCGGCAGACGGGUGAGUAACGCGUGGGAACGUACCUUUUGGUUCGGAACAACACAGGGAAACUUGUGCUAAUACCGGAUAAGCACUUACGGGGAAAAAUUUAUCGCCGAAAGAUCGGCCCGCGUCUGAUUAGCUAGUUGGAAGGGUAAUGGCCUACCAAGGCGACGAUCAGUAGCUGGUCGGAGAGGAUGAUCAGACACAUUGGGACUGAGACACGGCCCAAGCUCCUACGGGAGGGAGCAGUGGGGAAUAUUGGACAAUGGGGGCAACCCUGAUCCAGCCAUGCCGCGUGAGUGAUGAAGGCCCUAGGGUUGUAAAGCUCUUUUGUGCGGGAAGAUAAUGACGGUACCGCAAGAAUAAGCCCCGGCUAACUUCGUGCCAGCCGCCGCAGUAAAAC
rnacentral:rRNA from 1 species